AUUGAACGCUGGCGGCAGGCCUAACACAUGCAAGUCGAACGAGUGGCGGACGGGUGAGUAAUGUCUGGGAAACUGCCUGAUGGAGGGGUAUAACUACUGGAAACGGUAGCUAACACCGCAUACCAUCAGAUGUGCCCAGAUGGGAUUCGCUAGUAGGUGGGGUAACGGCGCACCUAGGCGACGACCCCUAGCUGGUCUGAGAGGAUGACCAGCCACACUGGAACUGAGACACGGUCCAGACUCCUACGGGAGGCAGCAGUGGGGAAUAUGGCACAAUGGGCGCAAGCCUGAUACAGCCAUGCCGCGUGUGUGAAGAAGGCCUUCGGGUUGUAAAGCACUUUCAGCGGGGAGGCGUUACCCGCAGAAGAAGCACCGGCUAACUCCGUGCCAGCAGCCGCGGUAAUAC
rnacentral:rRNA from 1 species